UAAGGAAUAUUGGACAAUGGGCGAAAGCCUGAUCCAGCCAUGCCGCGUGAAGGAUUAAGGCCCUAUGGGUUGUAAACUUCUUUUAUACGGGACAAAACCCCUCUACGUGUAGAGGGUUGAUGGUACUGUAAGAAUAAGCAUCGGCUAACUUCGUGCCAGCAGCCGCGGUAAUACGAAGGAUGCAAGCGUUAUCCGGAAUUAUUGGGUUUAAAGGGUGCGUAGGCGGACCUAUAAGUCAGUGGUGAAAGCCCCAAGCUCAACUUGGGAACUGCCAUUGAUACUGUUGGUCUUGAGUACAGUUGAGGUAGGCGGAAUGUGUCAUGUAGCGGUGAAAUGCUUAGAUAUGACACAGAACACCGAUUGCGAAGGCAGCUUGCUAAGCUGUAACUGACGCUGAUGCACGAAAGCGUGGGUAGCAAACA
rnacentral:rRNA from 1 species